AACCUGGUUGAUCCUGCCAGUAGUCAUAUGCUUGUCUCAAAGAUUAAGCCAUGCAUGUGUAAGCACACACUGUUUUAAAAGUGAAGCCGCGAAUGGCUCAUUACAACAGCCACAGUUUAUUAGAACUUACAAUCAUGGAUAACUGUGGUAAUUCUAGAGCUAAUACACGCACAAAAACUUCAACUGAAUUGGUUGAAGUGCUUUUAUUAGAACAAAAACCGAACGGCGUUUGACGAAUGUUGAACGUCGAAACUGUUUGGUGAAUCUGAAUAACUAUUUCUGAUCGCAUGGUCUAGCACCGGCGACAUCACUUUCAAGUGUCUGCCUUAUCAACCUUCGAUGGUAGUCUAUGCGACUACCAUGGCGAUAACGGGUAACGGAGAAUCAGGGUUCGACUCCGGAGAGGGAGCCUGAGAAACGGCUACCACAUCCAAGGAAGGCAGCAGGCGCGCAAAUUACCCACUCCCAGCUUGGGGAGGUAGUGACGAAAAAUAACGAGACGAUUCUCGUUUGAGAAACGUUAUCGAAAUGAGUACGCUUUACACACGCUAACGAGUAGCAAUUGGAGGGCAAGUUUGGUGCCAGCAGCCGCGGUAAUUCCAGCUCCAAUAGCGUAUAUUAAAGUUGCUGCGGUUAAAACGCUCGUAGUUGAAUUGUGGUCUUAGACAACAGUCCCCCUACAUAGGUGUGGCACGGUUGCUCGAGAUCUUCAUUCGUGGUUGCUGUUGUUGCUCUUCAUUGAGUGUCAAUGGUGCCUCGAGAUUUUACUUUGAAAAAAUUAGAGUGCUCAAAGCAGGUUGUGAUGCCUGAAUAAUGGUGCAUGGAAUAAUAGAAUACGAUCUCGGUUCUAUUUUGUUGGUUUUCGAACCGGAGAUAAUGAUUGAAAGGAACAGACGGGGGCAUUCGUAUUGCUGCGUUAGAGGUGAAAUUCUUGGAUCGCAGCAAGAUGAACAAUUGCGAAAGCAUUUGCCAAGAAUGUUUUCAUUCAUCAAGAACGAAAGUUAGAGGUUCGAAGGCGAUCAGAUACCGCCCUAGUUCUAACGGUAAACUAUGCCAACCAGCGAUUCGCCGAAGUUCAUUCAAGACUCGGCGAGCAGCUUCCGAGAAACCAAAGUGUUUCGGUUCCGGGGGAAGUAUGGUUGCAAAGCUGAAACUUAAAGGAAUUGACGGAAGGGCACCACCAGGAGUGGAGCCUGCGGCUUAAUUUGACUCAACACGGGAAAACUCACCCGGCCUGGACACUGGAAGGAUUGACAGAUUGACAGCUCUUUCUUGAUUCAGUGGGUAGUGGUGCAUGGCCGUUCUUAGUUGGUGGAGCGAUUUGUCUGGUUAAUUUCGAUAACGAACGAGACCCUACCCUAUUAAAUAGUGACAGUAUUGUAUUUUUUGUGCUGAUCACUUCUUAGAGGGACUGGCAAAUUGAAAGCUGCACGAAAAAGAGCAAUAACAGGUCUGUGAUGCCCUUCGAUGUCCGGGGCUGCACGCGCGCUACAAUGAAAGCGUCAACGUGAGUUACGUCCUUACCUGAAAAGGUUUGGCAAUCGAAUGAAACGUUUUCUUGAAUGGAAUAGGGAAUUGCAAUUGUUUCCCUUGAACGAGGAAUUCCCAGUAAGCGUGAGUCAUUAGCUCGCGUUGAUUACGUCCCUGCCCUUUGUACACACCGCCCGUCGCUACUACCGAUUGGAUGAUUUAGUGAGGUGUUUUGACUGGCGCCAGUAGUCGGAUGUAUUCGGCUUCGCGCCGGGAAAUUUCCCAAACCAAAUCAUCUAGAGGAAGUAAAAGUCGUAACAAGGUUUCCGUAGGUGAACCUGCGGAAGGAUCAUUA
rnacentral:rRNA from 1 species